AUUUAAAUAGCUUAUAAUAAGAGUGUAAUAUUGAAGAUAUUAAGGAGAUAUUUUUAUCUUUAAAUA
rnacentral:tRNA from 2 species